UUGGAAAGAGACAAAAGAUGAUAAGGUCCCUAGAGGUGAGAAAGUGUGAAACACACACCAGGCCAACUACCUGUGAAGGUACACUCCAAAACUCCUGCAAUGUCCAUCACUCCUGAUUUGUCGUAUGAAGUGCAUGAGGUAAAACAGACUAAUAAAAUUUUAAAGGAAACUGGAAAAAGAAAAACAGUUUUACAAUAGAGCCACAGCAUUCAACAAUCUUCAGCUUGAAUCACAUUUAGAGAUAUGUCUCAACAGCCUCAUCUUAUGGAGCUACCAUUCGCUCUGACUUUUUCCAGGUACAAUGGACCACAAUCAUCAGGCUUGCAUGACUGGAGGAAGUGAAAAGCCCAGAGGACAACUGAAGUCAUUUCCCUGCUAG